GACGAACGCUGGCGGCGUGCCUAAUACAUGCAAGUAGAACGCACAGUUUAUACCGUAGCUUGCUACACCAUAGACUGUGAGUUGCGAACGGGUGAGUAACGCGAAGGUAACCUGCCUGGUAGCGGGGGAUAACUAUUGGAAACGAUAGCUAAUACCGCAUAAUAUUGAUUAUUGCAUGAUAAUUGAUUGAAAGAUGCUAUUGCAUCACUACCAGAUGGACCUGCGUUGUAUUAGCUAGUAGGUGAGGUAACGGCUCACCUAGGCGACGAUACAUAGCCGACCGGAGAGGGUGAUCGGCCACACUGGGACUGAGACACGGCCCAGACUCCUACGGGAGGCAGCAGUAGGGAAUCUUCGGCAAUGGACGAAAGUCUGACCGAGCAACGCCGCGUGAGUGAAGAAGGUUUUCGGAUCGUAAAGCUCUGUUGUAAGAGAAGAACGGGUGUGAGAGUGGAAAGUUCACACUGUGACGGUAUCUUACCAGAAAGGGACGGCUAACUACGUG
rnacentral:rRNA from 1 species